AUGGAAAAAACAAGCAAAAGGCUUGCUAUGAGGUUGGUGAAAUGGGCAAGCACAUUGUUCAUGGUGAUGCGGUUGGGAAUGAUGAUGACUCAUCUGAUGACAACCAUCCUGAGAGUGGCAUGAGAGUGGCUGAAAACAUCAAGACACUUGCAUGUAAUAGGAAAGUAAAGACUGCAACACCAUAUGGGCAGAAAACAGCACAUACUGCAGCCCAGGCUGGCACAUCGAGAUGUCGACACCUACCCAUCACGGCUCGGUCAGAGCCACCUCUACCUCAUCGCCCAGGCACCCGUCUCUUCCAAGCAGCCCACAACAGGAAUACAGGU